rnacentral:lncRNA from 1 species
CGUUUCUAUAAGGGAGCCCAGUCAUCCACUCCACUAUCACACCAACAAACUACAACCUGACUUGAAGCACAUCCACAAACAUUGCAUUUAUGCGAUUCUAGUAUUAUAACCACAAAGCAUAAAGAUUCUGCAAUGCCUAACACUCACUUGAUGUUAUAUGAAGCAACUUAAAAAAGAUGACUUGCUUGCCGCCUUGUCCCAACUCUUUUCC